UGACACAUAUUACAUUUUUAGGAUAUAUUUUUAUACUUUAUGGGUAUUUAUAUUACCAUUCAUAUUUUAUGUGUCCAUAAAUUAUUCAAGAGAUUAAUAAGAUGAUGACAUAUAUUCUCAAAGAGUUGAGAAUUUGAGACAUGUGUCAUUGAUGGUUAAUUUUUAAAUUACUCCUGGUCAUAGGAUCAUCAUGAAAAUGAUGAUUGAUCCAGAUA
rnacentral:lncRNA from 1 species